rnacentral:lncRNA from 1 species
ACCUAUUCAAGUUUUGCCAAGUCAGGAUCCAGUUCAGAAUCACCACUGCACUUAUUUCUCACAUCUCUUUCAUCUUCAGUCUGGAACAGUUCUUCAGUCUUUCCUUAACUUUCAUGAACUUUACACUUCUAUUACAGGCCAAUUAUUUUGUAGAAUUUUCCUUAAUUUGAAUUUGUUGCUUUAGGAUUAGAUUCCAAUUAUGUAUUAUUGGCAGCAGCAUCACAGAAGUGAUGCUGUGUUCUUCUUGCUAGACUGUCAAGAGGCACAUGAUUGCAAUUUGUCCUAUUACUGAUGAUGUUCAUUUUGGUUACUUGAUUAAGGUGGCACCUGCCAGAUUUUUCCACUAUGAAGUGACUUCCUUUUGUAACUAAUGAAUAUUUUGUG